rnacentral:rRNA from 1 species
UACAGAGGUCUCAAGCGUUGUUCGGAUUCAUUGGGCGUAAAGGGUGCGUAGGCGGCGCGGUAAGUCGGGUGUGAAAUCUCGGAGCUUAACUCCGAAACUGCAUUCGAUACUGCCGUGCUUGAGGACUGGAGAGGAGACCGGAAUUUACGGUGUAGCGGUGAAAUGCGUAGAUAUCGUAAGGAAGACCAGUGGCGAAGGCGGGUCUCUGGACAGU